GGCGUAAAGAGCUCGUAGGUGGUUUGUCGCGUCGUCUGUGAAAUCCCGGGGCUUAACCUCGGGCGUGCAGGCGAUACGGGCAUAACUUGAGUGCUGUAGGGGAGACUGGAAUUCCUGGUGUAGCGGUGAAAUGCGCAGAUAUCAGGAGGAACACCAAUGGCGAAGGCAGGUCUCUGGGCAGUAACUGACGCUGAGGAGCGAAAGCAUGGGUAGCGAACAGGAUUAGAUACCCUGGUAGUCCAUGCCGUAAACGGUGGGCGCUAGGUGUAGGGGACUUCCACGUCUUCUGUGCCGCAGCUAACGCAUUAAGCGCCCCGCCUGGGGAGUACGGCCGCAAGGCUAAAACUCAAAGGAAUUGACGGGGGCCCGCACAAGCGGCGGAGCAUGUGGAUUAAUUCGAUGCAACGCGAAGAACCUUACCUGGGCUUGACAUACACCAGAUCGCUGCAGAGAUGUAGCUUCCCUUGUGGCUGGUGUACAGGUGGUGCAUGGUUGUCGUCAGCUCGUGUCGUGAGAUGUUGGGUUAAGUCCCGCAACGAGCGCAACCCUUGUCUUAUGUUGCCAUCACGUGAUGGUGGGCACUCAUGAGAGACUGCCGGGGUUAACUCGGAGGAAGGUGGGGAUGACGUCAAAUCAUCAUGCCCCUUAUGUCCAGGGCUUCACACAUGCUACAAUGGUCGGUACAGCGAGUUGCCACACCGUGAGGUGGAGCUAAUCUCUCAAAGCCGGCCUCAGUUCGGAUUGGGGUCUGCAACUCGACCCCAUGAAGUCGGAGUCGCUAGUAAUC
rnacentral:rRNA from 1 species